rnacentral:rRNA from 1 species
UACAGAGGUCUCGAGCGUUGUUCGGAUUCAUUGGGCGUAAAGGGUGCGUAGGUGGCACUGUAAGUCGGGUGUGAAAUCCUGAGGCUUAACCUCGGAACUGCAUUCGAUACUGCGGUGCUUGAGGACUGGAGAGGAGACUGGAAUUCAUGGUGUAGCAGUAAAAUGCGUAGAGAUCAUGAGGAAGACCAGUGGCGAAGGCGGGUCUCUGGACAGUUCCUGACACUGAGACACGAAGGCCAGGGAGGCAAACGGG